UUGUGGUUAAAAAGCUCGUAGUUGGAUCUCGGCGGACUGAGGGCGGUUUGCUUGCUAGUAUUACUGCCCUAUAGUCCGUAGUUUUGCCAGAGGUUUCGGGGUGCUCUUAAUCGAGUGUCCCGGGAUGCUGGCAGGUUUACUUUGAAAAAAUUAGAGUGCUCAAAGCAGGCUAUUACGCCUGAAUAUUCGUGCAUGGAAUAAUAGAAUAGGAAGUCGUUUCUAUUUUGUUGGUUUUCGGAAAUCGACUUAAUGAUUAAUAGUGACAGUCGGGGGCAUUUGUAUUCAAACGACAGAGGUGAAAUUCUUGGACCGUUUGAAGACAAACUACUGCGAAAGCAUUUGCCAAGAAUGUUCUCAUUAAUCAAGAACGAAAGUUAAAGGUUCGAAAGGCGAUUAGAUACCGCCCCUAGUUUUAACCAUAAACGAUGCCAGCUAGCGAUCUGCGGAC
rnacentral:rRNA from 1 species